AGAACAAACAAUGGAGGUGGAAGGGAACAGUCACUUUUCUUUUGCUGUGUAGGAGAUGUACUGCUAAUGGCCCCAUGUUCUAGCGUGCCCUCUAGAAAUGGGUGUGGAUUUUGAGACCAGCAGUGGAGUGUUCACUCUGCUGAGCAGAUGAUUCUACCAAGCACCUGUUAGCAUCCUAGACUUAACAGCAGAGGAUCCAGUAACUUCAUUCCCCACAGCUGAUGGAUAUAUAGAAAGCUGCCCCACCCCUACUGGAAGUUUGGUUUAAAUAGUAGCAGCUAUUCUAAAUGGAAGUGUGACUUAGGUGUGUUUUCUGGGGGUGCUAAUGAAGCUGUUGAGAGGAGUUUGUUCUCCAGGAAAAGUUCUAUGGUAAACUUGGAGCCAAGAAUUGCGAUGGUGGAGGAAACAUGCAGAGUCACUUAUGAAAAGGAAAUGCUUGUCUUGAAAUCCACUGUGGGAGUCUAUUGACAAAAAGUGAAAGGAUGCACAAAUAUGGAAAAGUGGACAGAAGAUUAAAUCCUCCUUAUAACCGUUUUCUCCAUGUUGUAUCAUCCAUUCUACAACUUGUGGGAUAUGAAGCCCAAACCUGCGUUUGCUAGUAGUCUAAGGAUUAUUUCAUUGUACUCAUCCAUUACUUUAUCUUCUGGCACUAGAUCACGAUAGGCGUUUGCAUUUGAAUAAAGCUUUUAGAAAAU
ensembl:lncRNA